GAUGAACGCUGGCGGCGUGCCUAAUACAUGCAAGUCGAGCGAACAGACGAGGAGCUUGCUCCUCUGACGUUAGCGGCGGACGGGUGAGUAACACGUGGAUAACCUACCUAUAAGACUGGGAUAACUUCGGGAAACCGGAGCUAAUACCGGAUAAUAUAUUGAACCGCAUGGUUCAAUAGUGAAAGACGGUUUUGCUGUCACUUAUAGAUGGAUCCGCGCCGCAUUAGCUAGUUGGUAAGGUAACGGCUUACCAAGGCAACGAUGCGUAGCCGACCUGAGAGGGUGAUCGGCCACGCUGGAACUGAGACACGGUCCAGACCCCUACGGGAGGCAGAAGGAGGGAAUCUUCCGCAAGGGGCGAAAGCCUGACGGAGCAACGCCGCGGGAGUGAUGAAGGUCUGCGGAUCGUAAAACUUUGUUAUUAGGGAAAAACAAAUGUGUAAGUAACUAUGCACGUCUUGACGGUACCUAAGCAAAAAGCCACGGCUAACUACGU
rnacentral:rRNA from 1 species